CUGACAUUUCUGGCCAUUGGCUGGAUGAUUUGGGGCAACCUAGGCAACAUUCUGGGCCCUUAGGAAUUGUAGUGUUGGUAACCUUUGAGCAAAAAGUAAAUGUGUCAGCGAGUACCAUUCACAUGGAUUCAGUGGGAAGUUUUUAAAUGUUAAAAAUUCUAGUUUCCUCUUUCCUUUCUUUCCUCCCACCCUCCCCCUCAGCCAAUACAUUUUAUUUGCCAAUAGGUCAAGGAAGUCAGACUACCUCCGGCUUGGAAGUCUGCAUGGUCACUUUGGUCCCUGGUAGGAAGCCCACCUUGGCCAUGAUUCCAGAUGUUGACUGCCUGCUUUGGGCCAUUGGGCGGGACCCAAAUUCCAGGAGCCUGAAUUUAAACAAACUGGUCCGGACCUUGUUUGUCAGCGAUCUGCCUCUGGAUGUCAAACCUCGGGAGCUCUAUCUGCUUUUCAGACCAUUUAAGGGCUACAAAGGCUCUCUUAUAAAGCUCAUAUCUAAGCAGUAAGAAUUUCAGACUUGCAUGUAAG